UACCUCUUAUGAAGGUUUUUUUAGCCGUUGCAACUUUAAAAAAGUUACAGUAAAUGACAUGUUCCACCUACUUGUGUGACUCUUUGUGCAGUGAUUUUCUACAGAAAACUAAUUUAAACUUUUCUUUUUGUAGGGUCAACACUUAAACGCCUGUGCCUGGGCAAAGAACGUGGCAGCAGAUCUGGAACACCGUCAGCUGCGUCUAAUCAGUCCCCAGUGCCUCCUGGAUCCACUCCCCCUCCUCACCAGCCAAUUGGUCUCGCCCAAGCACAGACAAACAACAGCAACAACAAGACAGAUGCUUUCACACAGCAGCUUCAUAGGCUGGUGGAUAACUGGGCAGAAGGGGUGAGGACUCCUUCACGCUCCCUCAGUCUAAGACAACAGCAACUGACCAGAUCCAAUCUCUUAAUAGAAAGAUUGAAUGCUUCUCAGCUGUCUCUUUCAUGGCCGCAGAUUGAUUCCCAUGCCUCUGUGAUGCCGACGGACACUUCACGAGAACAGUGCAGUUUUAUGGUGCCUGGUAACCCUUACAGAAGGAUGCUGACCGCCCCAAACUUAGACAUGGACCACUGGCCAGCAAUGACUGCCACUCAUAACCAAGAAGUCUUUGCUUUCACUGCUGUGCACUCCCCCUCUUGGACAGCACCUUCUUCCCCCAGCGAGGUUCCUAGUUCUAGAAAUAGGACCAUGUAGCUUCACAAUCACUGUACUUACACUUAUAAAAAUACAUCAGAGUUUCUUUUGAGUGCUAGUUAGGCCUAGCAGUGUGCAAUUCUAUCUGUUGCAGUUGUUAGCAUGUAGUUGCUUACAAUGUAGUAAUCCCACAUGAACAUGUAAAAUACUCAGGCCAACAACAUAGGCAUAUCAUCUGUAGUGUACAUUCAGUAUUAUUGUACAUAUUCAUAAAGCCUAUGUAGCAUAACUGAAUUUUAGCAUAGGCAUAUGUACAGAAUGUAUAUUUUUCAUCAAAAUCUAUUUAGCUUGCUAGUGUUUGUGCAGAAUCAACUUCCUUCACACCUUGAGCUGUACACAUAUGUAAAUGCUAUAAGGUACAGCGAGAUGCCCUUAAAUUUGUCUAGAUGUGUAUAGACACUGUUCAUACUUCUGUAAAUAUAAGCUCUGUCUGCAUAUGUGCAUAAACUGGACAAGUAAAUGAAAGACUGAUGUUUAGGUCAAUCAGUGUUUUGGGUUGAAUAGCAUCACAUCACAGUUGGCUUGAUGAGCAAGAUCAUGACAUCACUGUCGUCAAUUUUUCACCGCGUCCUGCAGCGAUCGCUAAUUUCGCAACGCACUAGUCAAAAACACAUUAUCGCAUGCUCAAAAAGUAUCAAACAAGACCUGCACUGAGAAAAGAGAGAACUUUAACAGACUGUACUGUACAUUUCAGGUGAACAAGCCUGCUAGAGUGCCUUGAACCACAACUGAGGACUGUGCUAUGUAUAUUACCAGCCAGUGUACCAAGGGUAAUGGUGCCUGCUAUUAAUUUUGUGUUACAAAGCAUAAUACUAACUUAAUUCAUGUCUUCCCCACCUGUGGUUUAUGAUGUCCUUUAUGGACAUUUAUAAAAUGCAUUUCAACACUACCUAUUUGUGGUAUAAAUUAGUUACGAGUGUCAUUUUGUUUUGAAGGUAUGUGCAUUCAUUUUGUUAUUUCUACAUCAUCUGACACAGUAAAAAAAAAAAAAAAAAUCACAUUGACCUAAAGCAAAAACGAAAUCAAGAUUUGUUUUCGAAACUGUAAUAACUGUAAAGUUGUUUUUCUGAAUCAAAAAAACUAAUUUUACAAUUAAUGAGCUGAAUGAUCUCUACUGCUGCAGUCAUGUUUGCAGUUACAGCAGUCUCAUAGCACAAUGUCAUCAUUUAGAUCACACUGCUACUGUUUUUAAUUAAUAAUCCAAAUACUGGCGUUUCCUGGUGGAGCGACAGUGAUUUCAUAGUGUUGACACAGACUGAUGCUUUGCAACAUACAGUAUAAAAGACCAUGUCUACCUUAAACUAACUAUUAACAUCUAAAUUUGAGUUUCAAAAUAUAGUUAUUACUAGUACACAAACAUCUGUAGAUGUUCUCUAAUUUAUAGUUCUGGUGAGGUAUAUGUUAUUAUAACAAAAUAAAAACAAAAAUGUGGAAUUUAAAAGGAUGAAGUAGACAAAAUCUGCUCGUGCUAACUCUUAAUAAACUUUUUUUCUGUAUGUUUUCAGUAUAUUUUGCAGUACACAAGUGACAUUAGAUCUAACCUUGCGCUAAGCAGAGAUGUAAACAAGUCAUUUUUGUCAUUGUAAACAGUUCUGUAAUGUAUGAGAGUCUUUACAACUCUUAUGAUACAGCAUACGUUAUUUCAAUUUAUUAUCUAUUAUUUUUAUAUUUCACCGGUAUUGACAAAAUUAAAUGGGCUAUUGAUAUUUGGGUCACAAAAUAUUAAAAUGGAUUUUUUUUUUUUUGUGGUGAAACUGCAGUAAGUAAAUAAGACUGCACUAUGACAGUGCUUGCAUUAUUACUAAGCUUGUUUACUUUCUGAAUGGCUGAAAUAUGAGGCAACCCAUCUCAAAUCUGAGCCAUUUGACUUGAUGUUUGUUUUCAGAAAAAGUUCACUGCAUUAUGUUACAAUCUUCGAAAGAAAUGCAUUUUGUUACACAUUUUCAGAAAUGUCUACCUUGUACAAACAAAUAAAUAACAGGCAAUAUGACGUCAAUGUAAUGAUUCAUAUCAUGAGGAAACUUAUUGCAGAAUUUUUCCAUACCACUAUUUUGAAAGAUUAAAGGUGCAAUCAGGAUUUGCAGUAACUGGUCAUUUUUUGCGGUUGUGCAAAUGCUGUGGCAACUCAUAUUUAGAGUUUCUUUAGAAUGCAACAACAGCACAUUUGCCUGACUGUACGUUUAUAUUUUAUUUCAUAAAUACAGUACAUUUUAUGUUUCCCAUGCUAGGAAUUUUUCACUACUUUCAAGUGAUGGCAGUGGCACUAAGAGUUUCAUAGUGUUUCACCAUGCAGAGUGAACAUGCCUGAAUAUUCAACCACAAAAUUUCAUCAUCGAUUAUUAUCUAUAUUAGAUGGAAGUUUUUGUUGUUGUUUGUUUGUUUUUAGUUCUUGCAGCUUUUGUCAAUACCAAAUGUCUAUUUGUUAGUAAUGGCAAGAUUAUAAUCAAGAUACCAUGUAAAUAAUUUAUUAUGUUUGAGGAGAAAGUCCAGAUUACUGUGUACCAUGGGUUGUUUUGUUUUCUAAGUACGCUUGACAUUCUCUGUGUAUUGGACCAAAAUAAGCUCUGUCCUAAGAGCCUGUCAUAAGAGCACAUAUUGACAAUGAUACUUGUUCACUUUAAUACAGAACCAAGGUAUAGAUAUUUACAGCUUCCACAUUAACUCUACGGUCACCAGUCGCUAUGCUACUACAAUCAUCACAAGCCGUGUGACAAAUGUGUUGAAUCAGUCUCAAGAGGUCCAUUUUGAAGUCAAGAUUCCAAAGGAUGCCUUCAUCAGCCAGUUUAGAAUGCAAGUAAAUACACAAACACUAUCCAAGGCAUUAAAAUGUUCAAGCAAUUGUACAAACUUAACAUUCCUCACUCAUACUAUUCUCAUGUGAACAGCCAGACUUGUCUAAUUUAAAUUAAACUAUUAACAGUAAAAAAAAAAAAAAAAAAACGACUUUUUAGUACAUUAAUUUUAACUACUCCCAUUCUGUCUAAUAACCUCAGUCACUUUUUUAAAGCUAAUAAUAACAAUCCUUUUCACAUUAGGACCAUAGAGGGGAAAUUAUAUGAUGGGGUUGUGAAGGAAAAAGAAGAAGCUCAGCAGCAAUACAGCGUCUUCCAAAUUCAUAGUGUAUGUAGAUAAUCAUUUAUGUUAAGAUAUUUGUAAAUAAUAGUUUAACAAAAUAGAUUUACUUAAGGAUUAUUAAAUAUUAUUGUAUCUCUUUCUAUUUUAGUGCUGUUGGAAGGACUUUAGAGGACUUUAAAACCUCAGUGACAGUGGCUGCUUUUAGUAAAGUGACCUUUGAGUCGACCUACCAGGAACUGCUAAAGCAUCGCCUCGGCAAAUAUGAGCUACUCAUCAAUGCACAACCAAUGCAGCCAGUGGCUGACUUCAAGGUAUGAAAAGACACACAUCAAGAUUGAUGUAAUUAGGGUUUAUAGAUGGGCUUAAUGUUUAUCAUAAUGGAAAAAGACAAAGAAAUAUAACAUUUCUGAAUUUUAUUUUGGUUAGAUUGACAUACACAUCCAUGAGAAUCCAGGAAUUUCCAUCUUGGAGGUCAAAGGUGGUCUGAGCACUAAGGAUCUGAC
rnacentral:lncRNA from 12 species